rnacentral:tRNA from 1 species
AUUUAAAUAGUUUAACAAAAAUUUUGAUUUGUGGUAUCAAAGAUAAGAAAUUUUUUCUUUUUAAAUC